rnacentral:rRNA from 1 species
UGGGGAAUCUUGCGCAAUGGCCGCAAGGCUGACGCAGCGACGCCGCGUGGGGGAGGAAGGGCUUCGGCUCGUAAACCCCUGUUGCCCGGGGCGAACAUCCCUUUUCGAGGGGACUGACGGUACCGGGUGAGGAAGCACCGGCUAACUCCGUGCCAGCAGCCGCGGUAAUACGGAGGGUGCGAGCGUUGUCCGGAAUCACUGGGCGUAAAGGGCGCGUAGGUGGCCGAGCAAGGUCGCGGUGAAAGCCCGGGGCUCAACCCCGGGUCGGCCGUGGCAACUACUUGGCUUGAGCACUGUAGGGGCGGGUGGAAUUCCGGGUGUAGCGGUGGAAUGCGUAGAGAUCCGGAAGAACACCGGUGGCGAAGGCGGCCCGCUGGGCAGGAAGACGGGCGCAAGUCCGUCGGCUGACACUGAGGCGCGACAGCGUGGGGAGCAAACAGGAUUAGAUACCCUGGUAGUCCACGCCGUAAACGAUGGGCACUAGGUGCCUGGGGGAGCGACCCUCCGGGUGCCGGCGCUAACGCAUUAAGUACCCCGCCUGGGGAGUACGGCCGCAAGGCUGA